CUCAUAGCGUAUAUUUAAGUUGUUGCAGUUAAAAAGCUCGUAGUUGGAUUUCGGGUGUGGGGCGCCGGUCCGCUUCGGUGUGCACUGGCGGCCCAGGCCUUCUUGUCGGGGACGCGCUCUGGCUUUCACUAGUCGGACGCGGAGUCGGCGCAGUUACUUUGAAAAAAUUAGAGUGUUCAAAGCAGGCUUUCGCUUGAAUACAUUAGCAUGGAAUAACAUGAUAGGACUCCGAUCCCAUUGUGUUGGUCUUCGGGACUGGAGUAAUGAUUAAGAGGGACAGUUGGGGGCAUUCGUAUUUCAUUGUCAGAGGUGAAAUUCUUGGAUUUAUGAAAGACGAACUUCUGCGAAAGCAUUUGCCAAGGAUGUUUUCAUUAAUCAAGAACGAAAGUUGGGGGCUCGAAGACGAUUAGAUACCAUCGUAGUCUCAACCAUAAACGAUGCCGACUAGGGAUUGGCGGAUGUUACUUGAUGACUUCGCCAGCACCUUGUGAGAAAUCAAAGUCUUUGGGUUCCGGGGGGAGUAUGGUCGCAAGGCUGAAACUUAAAGGAAUUGACGGAAGGGCACCACCAUGGCGUGGAGCCUGCGGCUUAAUUUGACUCAACACGGGGAAACUUACCAGGGUCCAGACACAGUGAUGAUUGACAGAUUGAGAGCUCUU
rnacentral:rRNA from 1 species